UUGUCGCUGUCGUUGGCAUUGCAUUUGUGGGUCCGUUGGUGUUGCUACCAACACCAGCUAACUGUAAAAAGCUGUAGCAGACAAAAUAUCCUUAAUCAUCAAAUGUUUUCAGUUGAUAGUAACAUAUCGACUGGAGUGGUUGUGUCCUCUAAUCCGGCACUUGUCUCCUUUGGUCUGCGAGACUGUAGAGGCAGUGGCAGUCAAUCAGCCAUUCAGUCAAUGACUGGAAUUGAUUAAAGUGUUGAAAAUCAUAAACCAAAUAUUAGAAAUAUGGACAUUAGAAAUUAAAUGGAUAUUUACACUACAGCGGAAUCCUUCUCUAAAGAAGAGAGCGUGCGAGUGUAUGUGUGCUGAUAAAAAAUAAGAAUGGACUGUGCAAUAAUUGUUGUAUCAUUUUUGCUAUCAGUGAAUCGAUUGGAAAUGUGUUUGUGAAGACAUUGUGGCCAACACCAUCGUGGGUUCGCGUCUCGACCCGACCCAAGUUCCCCCUGUGUUGUGCGGUCAAUGUGGGCCAUGUUAUUUUGUUUUCCCAACUUCUGUGCAGGCAGCAAUAACAACAGCUGCCACAAACAAAUAUGUGUUGUUGGAAAAAAAAUCCGAAACGAACCGAAACUUUGAAGAAAAGUAAUACGAAUCCCCUCCCACCAUAAAGGAUAAAACGGAGAAGAAGAAGAAGAAAAUAAAGGAAGAAAAAACAAAAAAACCGUUAUCAAGUGUUUAGUUUCUCAUGUGUUACUUUGUGCAGUUUUUAAGUGUGUUGUAGUUACCAACAAGACCCGUUAGUCGGUGCUCAAAAUACAUUACCGAGGAUUUUGUUUGUGGCUUCGUCGACAUCCACAUUGUCUUGUGUGCCAUCAACCCACCCACCCAUUAUCCACCCGCCACCGUCGCAGCCGUCUUCGACGCAAUAGCCAAAUGGAAAAUCAAUAUUUUCAAUAUUAUGCGGCAGGCAGGCAGGCUGGUAGUCAGACAGGCAGAAAACAUUUGAUUGGCAGCAAUUGGUGGUACUACAGGCUUGUUUUACAAACAAGUGCAAUUUACUUAAAUUACUGCAUGCAUUCUUAAGUGGCUGCGGCAGUAGUGCGGUUGGGGGGUCACUGGUGGGUGAAGCGUUAGACUGCGCUCAUACGCAACGCAUUACUCUAUGACAAUCCUGUGAGAACUAAUACUCCAUUGCAUUGCUGCGUUAGCCGUAUGUGGCCAUUAUCAGCAUCAUUAUACCAUAUGUGGGUAUGGGUGAGUGUUUCCAAACCCUACCCCCCAGACCAAAUCAACCGCUCACGAUUAUCCUUCUGGGGAAAAGCAAUGCAGUGAUGAAACUUGUCAUUAAUCAUUCUCAGAGUUUUCCUUGUUUGUUUGGCGUCCUUCAAUGAAGAAUGUUGUUUGUGUGUGUGUGUCGGUGAGGAAAAAUAAAAAAAAAAUCAGCCUUUGUUGGCUGGCUAUCUCUCUGUUCCCGAAAACUGUUCGCGUCUUGAAAUCUACAACGACUUCCAACACCACUGUGCCAUAAUAUCUACAAUCCCAUUGCUCUUGUCCCACCACCAUUAAUAUCCAAUUCUUAUCGCAAUCUAUCUCCUCAUGGAGAUACGGCUAAGAAGCAUCUUCCUGAUGAUACUGAUGCUGUGGAAAAUGAAUUUUGUUGAACACAGAGACAUUUCGGUUCGUUUCUCAGUGUAAGGACACUAUCUGGAGGGAGGAUAGGAUGCGACAAAGAAGAAAAAGGAAAAAUAUACG